GGACUACUCGGGUAUCUAAUCCCGUUCGCUCCCCUCGCUUUCGCCCCCGAGCGUCAGGUGCCAGCCAGGACACUGCCUUCGCCUUUGGUGUUCUUCCGGAUCUCUACGCAUUUCACCACUCCACCCGGAGUUCCAUGUCCCUCUCUGGCCCUCAAGUCGCGCCGUCUUCUCGGUCCUCUGCCGGUUAAGCCGGCAGCUGUCACCGCGAACUGACGCGACCGCCUGCGGGCGCUUUACGCCCAGUAACUCCGGACAACGCUUGCCCCCUACGUAUUACCGCGGCUGCUGGCAC
rnacentral:rRNA from 1 species